UACAGAGGUCCCAAGCGUUGUUCGGAUUUAUUGGGCGUAAAGGGUGCGUAGGCGGCGCGGUAAGUCGGGUGUGAAAUCUCGGAGCUUAACUCCGAAACUGCAUUCGAUACUGCCGUGCUUGAGGACUGGAGAGGAGACUGGAAUUUACGGUGUAGCGGUGAAAUGCGUAGAUAUCGUAAGGAAGACCAGUGGCGAAGGCGGGUCUCUGGACAGUUCCUGACGCUGAGGCGCGAAGGUCAGGGGAGCAAACGGG
rnacentral:rRNA from 1 species